CGCUAGUAAUCGCGCAUCAGCCAUGGCGCGGUGAAUACGUUCCCGGGCCUUGUACACACCGCCCGUCAAGCCAUGGGAGCCGGGGGGCGCCUGAAGUCCGGGACCGCGAGGACCGGCCUAGGGCGAAACUGGUGACUGGGGCUAAGUCGUAACAAGGUAUC
rnacentral:rRNA from 1 species